rnacentral:rRNA from 1 species
GACGAACGCUGGCGGCGUGCUUAACACAUGCAAGUCGAGCGGUAAGGCCCUUUCGGGGGUACGACGAGCGGCGAACGGGUGAGUAACACGUGGGUGACCUGCCCUCAGCUCUGGGAUAAGCCUGGGAAACCGGGUCUAAUACUGGAUAUGACUCCAUGACGCAUGUUGUGGGGUGGAAAGCCUUGUGCGGCUGAGGAUGGGCCCGCGGCCUAUCAGCUUGUUGGUGGGGUGANGGCCUACCAAGGCGACGACGGGUAGCCGGCCUGAGAGGGCGACCGGCCACACUGGGACUGAGACACGGGCCCAGACUCCUACGGGAGGCAGCAGUGGGGAAUCUUGCGCAAUGGGCGAAAGCCUGACGCAGCGACGCCGCGUGAGGGAUGACGGCCUGGUGUAAC